rnacentral:tRNA from 1 species
GUCCCCGUAGCCCAACCAGGUAGAGGCAGCCGGCUUAAACCCGGCCUUGGUGCGGGUUCGACUCCCGCCGGGGACACCG